rnacentral:rRNA from 1 species
UACGGAGGAUCCGAGCGUUAUCCGGAUUUAUUGGGUUUAAAGGGAGCGUAGGUGGAUUGUUAAGUCAGUUGUGAAAGUUUGCGGCUCAACCGUAAAAUUGCAGUUGAAACUGGAAGACUUGAGUGUGUUUGAGGUAGGCGGAAUGCGUGGUGUAGCGGUGAAAUGCAUAGAUAUCACGCAGAACUCCGAUUGCGAAGGCAGCAUACCGGCGCCCAACUGACGCUGAAGCACGAAAGCGUGGGUAUCGUACAGG